rnacentral:rRNA from 1 species
GGCUCAGGAUGAACGCUAGNGACAGGCCUAACACAUGCAAGUUGAGCGGGAUUCAGUGGCUUGCCACUGAUGAGAGCGGCGCACGGGUGCGUAACGCGUAUGCAACCUACCCUUAACAGGGGGAUAGACCCGGAGAAAUCCGGAUUAAUACCCCCAUAUGAUUACGAUAUCGCAUGGUAUUGUACUCAAAGCUACGGCGGUAAAGGAUGGGCAUGCGUAUGAUUAGUUAGUUGGUAGGGUAACGGCCUACCAAGGCAACGAUCAUUAGGGGUUCUGAGAGGAAGGUCCCCCACACUGGUACUGAGACACGGACCAGACUCCUACGGGAGGCAGCAGUGAGGAAUAUUGGUCAAUGGGCGCAAGCCUGAACCAGCCAUGUCGCGUGCAGGAAGACUGCCCUAUGGGUUGUAAACUGCUUUUGUACGGGAAUAACCGUGGAUACGUGUAUCCACCUGCAUGUACCGUACGAAUAAGGAUCGGCUAACUCCGUG